GAUAGAACGUAGCGAAAUGCGAUAACUAAUGUGAAUUGCAGAAUUCAGUGAAUCAUCGAGUCUUUGAACGCACAUUGCGCCCCCUGGUAUUCCGGGGGGCAUGCCUGUCCGAGCGUCAUUGCUGCCCUCAAGCACGGCUUGUGUGUUGGGCUCCGUCCCCCCGGGGACGGGCCCGAAAGGCAGCGGCGGCACCGAGUCCGGUCCUCGAGCGUAUGGGGCUUUGUCACCCGCUCUGUAGGCCCGGCCGGCGCCAGCCGACAACCCAUCAUCCUUUUCAGGUUGACCUCGGAUCAGGUAGGGAUACCCGCUGAACUUAAGCAUAUCAAUAAGCGGAGGA
rnacentral:misc_RNA from 1 species